CCUACGGGUGGCUGCAGUGAGGAAUAUUGGUCAAUGGGCGUGAGCCUGAACCAGCCAAGUCGCGUGAGGGAGCACUGCCCUAUGGGUUGUAAACCUCUUUUGUCGGGGAGCAACAGCCGGACGUUUCCGGCGGUGAGAGUACCCGUAGAAAAAGCAUCUGCUAACUCCGCGCCCGCAGCCGCGGUAAUAUGGAGGAUGCGAGCGUUAUCCGGGUUUAUUGGGUUUAAAGGGGGCGCAGGCGGAAUUUUAAGUCAGCGGUAAAAUCGUGGGGCUCAACCCCGUCCAGCCGUUGAAACUGGGGAUCUAGAGUGUGCGAGAGGUAUGCGGAAUGCGUGGUGUAGCGGUGAAAUGCAUAGAUAUCACGCAGAACCCCGAUUGCGAAGGCAGCAUACCGGUGCACAACUGACGCUCAGGCACGAAAGCGUGGGUAUCGAACAGGAUUAGAUACCCCGGUAGUC
rnacentral:rRNA from 1 species